GGCGACGGGUGAGUAACACGUGGGCAAUCUGCCCUGCACUCUGGGACAAGCCCUGGAAACGGGGUCUAAUACCGGAUAUGACCACCGACCGCAUGGUCUGGUGGUGGAAAGCUCCGGCGGUGCAGGAUGAGCCCGCGGCCUAUCAGCUUGUUGGUGGGGUGAUGGCCUACCAAGGCGACGACGGGUAGCCGGCCUGAGAGGGCGACCGGCCACACUGGGACUGAGACACGGCCCAGACUCCUACGGGAGGCAGCAGUGGGGAAUAUUGCACAAUGGGCGAAAGCCUGAUGCAGCGACGCCGCGUGAGGGAUGACGGCCUUCGGGUUGUAAACCUCUUUCAGCAGGGAAGAAGCGCAAGUGACGGUACCUGCAGAAGAAGCGCCGGCUAACUACGUGCCAGCAGCCGCGGUAAUACGUAGGGCGCGAGCGUUGUCCGGAAUUAUUGGGCGUAAAGAGCUCGUAGGCGGCUUGUCGCGUCGGAUGUGAAAGCCCGGGGCUUA
rnacentral:rRNA from 1 species